rnacentral:rRNA from 1 species
AUUGAACGCUGGCGGCAUGCUUUACACAUGCAAGUCGAACGGCAGCGCGGGCUUCGGCCUGGCGGCGAGUGGCGAACGGGUGAGUAAUACAUCGGAACGUGCCCAGUAGUGGGGGAUAGCUCGGCGAAAGCCGGAUUAAUACCGCAUACGACCUGAGGGUGAAAGCGGGGGAUCUUCGGACCUCGCGCUAUUGGAGCGGCCGAUGGCAGAAUAGCUAGUUGGUGGGGUAAAGGCCUACCAAGGCGACGAUCUGUAGCUGGUCUGAGAGGACGACCAGCCACACUGGGACUGAGACACGGCCCAGACUCCUACGGGAGGCAGCAGUGGGGAAUUUUGGACAAUGGGCGAAAGCCUGAUCCAGCAAUGCCGCGUGUGUGAUGAAGGCCUUCGGGUUGUAAAGCACUUUUGGCGGGAACGAAAAGGACUGUGCCAAUACCACGGUUCGAUGACGGUACCCGCAGAAUAAGCACCGGCUAACUACGUG